GCCAAUUCUCACGUGUUGGUGUAAAGUUACCAAAAUAUGUUAAGGACUUAGUUCAGAGAUAAUGUUGCUAAACGAUUUACAGUCGAUAAUCUUUCGAAAGCAGAAAAACUCAGUGUCAAACAAAGAAUACGCGAAUUAUUUGAGAUUUGAUUAAAAUUUGCAAAGAAAGUAAAAAUCAAACUAGUUUCAUUCUAAGUUAUUGUAUA
rnacentral:lncRNA from 1 species